rnacentral:rRNA from 1 species
CCUACGGGAGGCAGCAGUGGGGAAUAUUGCACAAUGGGGGAAACCCUGAUGCAGCGACGCCGCGUGAGGGAAGAAGUAUUUCGGUAUGUAAAGCUUCAUCAGCAGGGAAGAUAAUGACGGUACCUGACUAAGAAGCCCCGGCUAACUACGUGCCAGCAGCCGCGGUAAUACGGAGGGGGCAAGCGUGAUCCGGAUGUACUGGGUGUAAGGGGUGCGUAGGUGGCAGGGCAAGUCAGAUGUGAAAGCCCGGGGCUCAACCCCGGUACUGCAGUUGAAACUGUCCGGCUGGAGUGCAGGAGAGGUAAGCGGAAUUCGUAGUGUAGCGGUGAAAUGCGUAGAUAUUAGGAGGAACACCAAUGGCGAAGGCAGCUUACUGGACUGUAACUGACACUGAGGCACGAAAGCGUGGGGAGCAAACAGGAUUAGAUACCCUUGUAGUC